UAAGACUACAGGGAUUGCCUUAGUAGCGGCGAGUGAAGCGGCAAAAGCUCAAAUUUGAAAUCUGGUCUCUUUCAGAGUCCGAGUUGUAAUUUGAAGAAGGUAUCUUUGGGUCUGGCUCUUGUCUAUGUUUCUUGGAACAGAACGUCACAGAGGGUGAGAAUCCCGUGCGAUGAGAUGAUCCAGGCCUAUGUAAAGUUCCUUCGAAGAGUCGAGUUGUUUGGGAAUGCAGCUCUAAGUGGGUGGUAAAUUCCAUCUAAAGCUAAAUAUUGGCGAGAGACCGAUAGCGAACAAGUACAGUGAUGGAAAGAUGAAAAGAACUUUGAAAAGAGAGUGAAAAAGUACGUGAAAUUGUUGAAAGGGAAGGGCUUGAGAUCAGACUUGGUAUUUUGUAUGUUACUUCUUCGGGGGUGGCCUCUACAGUUUAUCGGGCCAGCAUCAGUUUGGGCGGUAGGAGAAUUGCGUUGGAAUGUGGCACGGCUUCGGUUGUGUGUUAUAGCCUUCGUCGAUACUGCCAGCCUAGACUGAGGACUGCGGUUUAUACCUAGGAUGUUGGCAUAAU
rnacentral:rRNA from 1 species